GUAGGUGGCAAGCGUUGUCCGGAAUUAUUGGGCGUAAAGCGCGCGCAGGCGGUUCUUUAAGUCUGAUGUGAAAGCCCACGGGCUCAACCGUGGAGGGUCAUUGGAAACUGGAGAACUUGAGUACAGAAGAGGAAAGCGGAAUUCCACGUGUAGCGGUGAAAUGCGUAGAGAUGUGGAGGAACACCAGUGGCGAAGGCGGCUUUCUGGUCUGUAACUGACGCUGAGGCGCGAAAGCGUGGGGAGCAAACAGGAUUAGAUACCCUGGUAGUCCACGCCGUAAACGAUGAGUGCUAAGUGUUAGGGGGUUUCCGCCCCUUAGUGCUGCAGCUAACGCAUUAAGCGCUCCGCCUGGGGAGUACGGCCGCAAGGCUG
rnacentral:rRNA from 1 species